rnacentral:rRNA from 1 species
GUUUAUGCGACUACCAUGGUUGUCACGGGUAACGGGGAAUCAGGGUUCGAUUCCGGAGAGGGAGCCUGAAAAACGGCUACCACAUCCACGGAAGGCAGCAGGCGCGCAAAUUACCCACUCCCGGCACGGGGAGGUAGUGACGAAAAAUAACGAUACGGGACUCGUCCGAGGCCUCGUGAUCGGAAUGGUUACANUUUAAAUCCUUUAACGAGGAUCCAUUGGAGGGCAAGUUUGGUGCCAGCAGCCGCGGUAAUUCCAGCUCCAAUAGCAUAUACUAAAGUUGUUGCGGUUAAAAAGCUNGUAGUUGAAAUUGUGUCCUGCGGUGUCGGUCUACCGAUUGCGGUACGACAGGCACGUUUGCGGGGCUUCUCGCCGUUUGAAAUUCUUGGAUCGUCGCAAGACGGACUAAAGCGAAAGCAUUUGCCAAAGGUGUUUUCAUUAAUCAAGAACGAAAGUUAGAGGUUCGAAGGCGAUUAGAUACCGCUGUAGUUCUAACCAUAAAUGAUGCCAGCCAGCGAUCCGCCGAAGUUUCAUAAAUUUAACCCGGUGGGCAGCUCCCGGGAAACCAAAGCUUUCGGGCUCCGGGGGGAGUAUGGUUGCAAAGCUGAAACUUAAAGGAAUUGACGGAAGGGCACCACCAGGAGUGGAGCCUGCGGCUUAAUUCGACUCAACACGGGAAAACUCACCAGGCCCGGACACUGGAAGGAUUGACGGAUUAACAGCUCUUUCUCGAUUCGGUGGGUGGUGGUGCAUGGCCGCUCUUAGUUGGUGGAGCGAUUUGUCAGGUUAAUUCCGGUAACGAACGUAACUCACCGGCGGUAUAUAUAGCCGCACGAGAUUGAGCAAUAGCAGGUCUGUGAUGCCCUUAGAUGUCCUGGGCCGCACGCGCGCUACACUGAAGGGAUCAGCGUGUCCUCCUUGGCCUAACGGCCCGGGUAACCCGAUGAAACCCCUUCGUGAUAGGGAUUGGGGUUUGCAAUUCUCCCCCAUGAACGAGGAAUUCCUAGUAAAAGCGGGUCACCAGCUCGCGUUGAUUGCGUCCCUGCCCUUUGUACACACCGCCCGUCGCUACUACCGAUGGAUGAUUUGGUGAGGUCUUCGGACUGGCGCGCGGAAGUUCGUUACGGACAUCCGACGCGUCGGAAAGUUUGACCGAUUUUGAUCAUUAGAGGA